rnacentral:tRNA from 1 species
GUCGUAGCUCAGGGGUAGAGCACUUCCUUGGUAAGGAAGAGGUCGCGGGUUCAAGUCCCAUCGA